rnacentral:rRNA from 1 species
GACGAACGCUGGCGGCGUGCUUAACACAUGCAAGUCGAACGGAAAGGCCCUGCUUUUGUGGGGUGCUCGAGUGGCGAACGGGUGAGUAACACGUGAGUAGCCUGCCCUUGACUUUGGGAUAACUUCAGGAAACUGGGGCUAAUACCGGAUAGGAGCUCCUGCUGCAUGGUGGGGGUUGGAAAGUUUCGGCGGUUGGGGAUGGACUCGCGGCUUAUCAGCUUGUUGGUGGGGUAGUGGCUUACCAAGGCUUUGACGGGUAGCCGGCCUGAGAGGGUGACCGGCCACAUUGGGACUGGGAUACGGCCCAGACUCCUACGGGAGGCAGCAGUGGGGAAUAUUGCACAAUGGGCGGAAGCCUGAUGCAGCAACGCCGCGUGCGGGAUGACGGCCUUCGGGUUGUAAACCGCUUUCGCCUGUGACGAAGCGUGAGUGACGGUAAUGGGUAAAGAAGCACCGGCUAACUACGUG